rnacentral:tRNA from 1 species
UCCUGGUUAGCUCAGUUGGUAGAGCGCUCCACUGGAAACGGAGAGGUCCCUUGUCUGAUACCAGGACCAGGAC